rnacentral:rRNA from 1 species
GAUGAACGCUGGCGGCGUGCCUAAUACAUGCAAGUCGAGCGAACGGACGAGAAGCUUGCUUCUCUGAUGUUAGCGGCGGACGGGUGAGUAACACGUGGAAACCUACCUAUAAGACUGGGAUAACUUCGGGAAACCGGAGCUAAUACCGGAUGAUAUUUUGAACCGCAUGGUUCAAAAGUGAAAGACGGUCUUGCUGUCACUUAUAGAUGGAUCCGCGCUGCAUUAGCUAGUUGGUAAGGUAACGGCUUACCAAGGCAACGAUGCAUAGCCGACCUGAGAGGGUGAUCGGCCACACUGGAACUGAGACACGGUCCAGACUCCUACGGGAGGCAGCGGUAGGGAAUCUUCCGCAAUGGGCGAAAGCCUGACGGAGCAACGCCGCGUGAGUGAUGAAGGUCUUCGGAUCGUAAAACUCUGUUAUUAGGGAAGAACAUAUGUGUAAGUAACUGUGCACAUCUUGACGGUACCUAAUCAGAAAGCCACGGCUAACUACGUG